UACAGAGGUCUCAAGCGUUGUUCGGAUUCAUUGGGCGUACAGGGUGCGUAGGUGGCGAAGUAAGUCGGGUGUGAAAUCUCGGGGCUUAACCCCGAAACUGCAUUCGAUACUGCUUUGCUCGAGGACUGGAGAGGAGAUUGGAAUUCAUGGUGUAGCAGUGAAAUGCGUAGAUAUCAUGAGGAAGACCAGUGGCGAAGGCGGAUCUCUGGACAGUUCCUGACACUGAGGCACGAAGGCCAGGGGAGCAAACGGG
rnacentral:rRNA from 1 species